UAAGUGAUGGCGACCGGCGCACGGGUGAGUAACACGUAUCCAACCUGCCGAUAACUCGGGGAUAGCCUUUCGAAAGAAAGAUUAAUACCCGAUGGUAUAAUAAGGCCGCAUGGUUUAAUUAUUAAAGAAUUUCGGUUAUCGAUGGGGAUGCGUUCCAUUAGGCAGUUGGUGAGGUAACGGCUCACCAAACCUUCGAUGGAUAGGGGUUCUGAGAGGAAGGUCCCCCACAUUGGAACUGAGACACGGUCCAA
rnacentral:rRNA from 1 species